rnacentral:rRNA from 1 species
UGGGGAAUCUUGGACAAUGGGCGCAAGCCUGAUCCAGCCAUGCCGCGUGAGUGAAGAAGGUCUUCGGAUUGUAAAGCUCUUUUGCCAGGGACGAUAAUGACGGUACCUGGAGAAUAAGCCCCGGCAAACUUCGUGCCAGCAGCCGCGGUAAUACGAAGGGGGCUAGCGUUGUUCGGAAUUACUGGGCGUAAAGCGCACGUAGGCGGGCGAUUAAGUCAGGGGUGAAAUCCCGGAGCUCAACUCCGGAACUGCCUUUGAUACUGGUCGUCUAGAGAUCGGAAGAGGUGAGUGGAAUUCCCAGUGUAGAGGUGAAAUUCGUAGAUAUUGGGAAGAACACCAGUGGCGAAGGCGGCUCACUGGUCCGAUACUGACGCUGAGGUGCGAAAGCGUGGGGAGCAAAC